rnacentral:rRNA from 1 species
UACAUGGGGUGCAAACGUUGCUCGGAAUUAUUGGGCGUAAAGCGCACGUAGGCGGCCGCAUAAGUCGGGUGUGAAAGCCCUGGGCUCAACCCAGGAAGUGCACUCGAAACUGCGCGGCUUGAGUAUGGAAGAGGGUUGCGGAAUUCCCGGUGUAGAGGUGAAAUUCGUAGAUAUCGGGAGGAACACCAGUGGCGAAGGCGGCAACCUGGGCCAAUACUGACGCUGAGGUGCGAAAGCGUGGGGAGCAAACAGG